GACCCCGUCACUCUCUCUCUCUCUCUCCCAGUCUGGCCUGCUUCCCAGCUGUUCACAUUCCCUACAGGAUUGUUAGAAGCUCCACACGCUGAGCGGGAGGCAGAGGAAAGUAAAUAGUUUAGCCAGGCAGGUACCCCACCCACCAUUUUAUUUUCCUAAAUCACUCCUUUAGCUAACAUUUCAGGGACAGACACGCGACGCAUCUGGCUCCAACCAAAUAUUUUCAGUCAGUCAGAUUCCAAGGUAAAUAUUUGCCACUUUGAUUGCAGCAACAGUGGUAGCAUGAAACAAGGAGCCACUUAUCAACCUUCAAUCAGGGCCCGCCUGGCGCUUGGGUGACGUGACCUGCCCCCUCCCCGUGAGCCCUUGCGCGGGUCCCGCCUCCGCACUUCCGGUCUUGAGCACUUGGUGUCUGAGCCUUUCUGAGGCCUGAUGGGUCUUCGAGGUGAACCCUUGGUAAAAAGUCAGGUUGUGGGAUUGCUGAGCUGCUGUCUUCCACCAGAUCCUUUCAUUUUUAGCAGGUGUUGUCUUUCCCACUGUUCACGACUGACUUGUCGAAAGAUAUUUUUAAAACUGGAGAGAAGAAGUGAUGCAUAACAAUCUAUAAGCUCCUGGUAACCACUAUUCUACUUUCUAUCUCUGGAUUUCGCUACUCUAGUUACUUCCUAUUUUAAAAUUGAGGUGACUUUCCAGCUAAGCAUGUUGGAUUUAAUACGUGUUUACUCUCUACUACCUUCCAAAAAUUGUCAGAACAUGGAUUUUUAGAAAAGCAUAAAUGGACUCUGUUUUAAUCCAUGAUGGAGUAAUAAGAGCCACUUUUAUCCUGCCACAGAAAUAACAAGAAACUGUGUAAAAGCAUGAAAUACAUGUUUUCUGAUAUUGGACUAGAAGUAGAACAGAUUGUGAUUCCUGAGAGAAGAGAGACAAAUGAGGUAAGCUCUGUUAUCACUUAGGUUUCUACCUGGAAGCACAGUCCAGACCAUGGAGCUGGGAGGGGAAUCCCAAGUAGAGCAUGGUGGCCUCACCUAGUUAAGGAGAGGGAUUGGAGGUUAGGGAAACUGAGGCAGCUGAAAGUUGUGAGGAAGAAUUCCAGAUGAGAGGGAGUUACACAGAAAGUUCUCCAGAAAUCUUAAGUCUUUCUCAUUACUAAGAAAUAAUAGUAAGAAAAAAAUUGAAAAUUUUUCUAAAUUAGAUGAAAAUGCCAAGAAAAAGAUACAAGAAACUCAACAGAAUAAACCCACACACACAAAAAUUCACAUCAAACUAUAUCAUAAUCAAGUUAUUAAAAAUUAAUGAUAUAGAGAUAGAAAUAAGACUGUGUACAGAAAAACAAAAUUAAGACUGCAGACUUCAGGUCUAAAGCUAGCCAAACCAACAGUGGAAUGGCAUCUUUAAAGUAGCAAAAGAAAAAAAAAUAAAACAACUUGGAAAUAAGUGAAACUUCUUUAAAAGUGAAGGCCAAAAAAAAAAAAAAAAGCUUUUUCAUACAAACAAAAGCUGAAAGAAUUUGUUGUCAGUAAACUUGCAGUGUGAAAAAUGUGAGCUAUUCAUGAAGGCAGAAGAAAAAUAUCAGAUGGGAAUGUAGAUUUACACAAGGGAAUGAAUAGUGCUUGAAAUGGCAUGUAUGUGGGUAAAUAUAAAACACUCUCUUCUCCCUCAUUUUAAAAUGUAUUUAAGAUAUAAUUGAUGACUUAAAGCCAAAAUUACAUGCAUGGUAGGAUUCAGACCAUCUAUAGAUGUGAAAUGUGUGACAAUAGUAGCACAAAGGAUAGGAGAAGUGAAAUGAUAACAUGUAUUUGUUAUGAGGUUUUUACAUUAUACCAGAGGUGAUAUAGUAUUAUUUAAAGGUGUAGUGUAAUAAGUAAAAUAUGCAUGUUUAAAAUUCUAGAACAAUUACUAAAAACAAAACUCAACGAGGUAUAGCUAAUAAACCAAUAUUGUAGAUUAAAUGGAGUACUAAAAAUAAUCAUCACAAAAGAAGGCAACAAAAAAGGAAAAAAAGAACAAUGAGUAGAUAGGCCCAAAAGAACAAACACAAAGAUGGUAGAAUUAAGCCAAAUCAUCUUAAUAAUUAAUUAUAAAGGGUCUAAAAAUCCCAGUUAUAAGGCAGAGAUGAUUAGACUAACUGGACAGAAAAAGCAAGUUCAAACUGUGCGUUGUUCAGA